CGGUGCUGCCCAGCCAGCUCUGGAACAGCCUGGGCAGGGAAAGCUCAGUAAGGAGUCGUUAAAGGAACCUCUUGGAGCUGGGGAGCAGCAGAAAGCUUGGAAGCAGGAGGACAAGACCUUCCCCCACACUUACCUUGACUUCAGCAAGCUGGGGAUCAAGAAGACCACCACUGAAGGGGAAGUGAAGCUUCUCCAGUCACCAACCAUGUCCCUGCUGCCACAAGGAGAUAUGAAACACUCAGUGCCAGAAAUCAAGAAAGUGAAUCCAUUAUUGCUGAAAAUCCAUUUGAAGCUGUCAAAUUCCCCUUCCCCAGAGAACUGACUAGACAAAACCAAUAAAGCCUCCAGUGCCGGC